rnacentral:rRNA from 1 species
GACGAACGCUGGCGGCGUGCUUAACACAUGCAAGUCGAACGGAAAGGCCUGCUUUCCCUUGUGGAUUGCGGGUACUCGAGUGGCGAACGGGUGAGUAACACGUGAGUGAUCUGCCCCCAACUUGGGUAUAAGCCUGGGAAACUGGGUCUAAUUCCCGAUAGGACUGCAGGGUGGUGCCUGUGGUGGAAAACGAUUUUCUAGUGGUUGGGGAUGAGCUCGCGGCCUAUCAGCUUGUUGGUGGGGUAAUGGCCUACCAAGGCGGCGACGGGUAGCCGGGCUGGGAGGGUGGACGGCGACAUUGGGACUGAGAUACGGCCCAGACUCCUACGGGAGGCAGCAGUGGGGAAUAGUGCACAAUGGGCGGAAGCCUGAUGCAGCGACGCAGCGUGGGGGAUGACGGCCUUCGGGUUGUAAACUCCUUUCGACCGCGAGGAAGCCACCUGGUUGGAAGGGUGGUGACGGUAGUGGUAGAAGAAGCACCGGCUAACUACGUG